UACGGAGGGUGCGAGCGUUGUUCGGAUUCACUGGGUAUAAAGGGUUCGUAGGCGGUCCUGUAAGUCAGGGGUGAAAGCUGCCGGCUCAACUGGCAAAUUGCCUUUGAAACUGCAGGACUUGAGUCCGGAAGAGGAAGGUGGAAUUCCUGGUGUAGCGGUGAAAUGCGUAAAUAUCAGGAGGAACACCGGUGGCGAAGGCGGCCUUCUGGUCCGGUACUGACGCUGAGGAACGAAAGCUAGGGGAGCAAACGGG
rnacentral:rRNA from 1 species